GCGCCCGUAGCUCAGCAGGACAGAGCAGCGGACUUCUAAUCCGCGGGUCGCAGGUUCGAAUCCUGCCGGGCGCGCCU
rnacentral:tRNA from 1 species